UACGUAGGGUGCGAGCGUUAAUCGGAAUUACUGGGCGUAAAGCGUGCGCAGGCGGUUUUGUAAGCCAGAUGUGAAAUCCCCGGGCUCAACCUGGGAAUGGCAUUUGGGACUGCAAGGCUCGAGUGCGGCAGAGGAGACUGGAAUUCCUGGUGUAGCAGUGAAAUGCGUUGAUAUCAGGAGGAACACCCAUGGCGAAGGCAGCAUACUGGCCGACCACUGACGCUGAGGCGCGAAAGCGUGGGUAGCAAACAGG
rnacentral:rRNA from 1 species